rnacentral:rRNA from 1 species
GGGUGCAGCAGGCGCGAAACUCCACAAUGUACGGAAGUACGAUGGGGUUAUCUCGAGUGCAGUCCGAUAAGGGCGGCUUUUCCAUAGAGUAAUAUCCUGUGGGAAUAAGAGGGGGGCAAGACUGGUGUCAGCCGCCGCGGUAACACCAGCCCCUCGAGUGGUGGGGACUAUUAUUUGGCCUAAAGCGUCCGUAGCUGGCUGUAUCCGUCCCCCGUUAAAUCCAGCGUCCUAAGCGUUGGACCGCGGGUGAUACCAUACAGCUAGAGGGUGGGAUAGGUGAGCGGUAUUUCUGGGGUAGGGGCGAAAUCCUUUGAUCCCAGGAGGACCACCAGUGGCGAAGGCUGCUCACUAGAACACGCCUGACGGUCAGGGACGAAAGCUGGGGCAGCGAACCGGAUUAGAUACCCGGGUAGUCCCAGCUGUAAACGAUGCUAGCUAGGUGUUGGG